GCUUGGGUGGCUCAGUCGGUUGAGCAUCCGACUUUGGCUCAGGUCGUGAUCUAGUGGUCUGUGAGUUCAAGCCCCAUCUCAGGCU
rnacentral:tRNA from 1 species